rnacentral:rRNA from 1 species
CUACGGGGUGCUGCAGUGAGGAAUAUUGCACAAUGGGGGGAACCCUGACGCAGCAACGCCGCGUGGAGGAUGACGCAUUUCGGUGUGUAAACUCCUUUUAUAUGUCAAGAAAAUGACGGUAGCAUAUGAAUAAGCACCGGCUAACUCCGUGCCAGCAGCCGCGGUAAUACGGAGGGUGCAAGCGUUACUCGGAAUCACUGGGUGUAAAGGACGCGUAGGCGGGUUGGAAAGUCAGGUGUGAAAUCCUACAGCUUAACUGUAGAACUGCACUUGAAACUUCUAAUCUAGAGUAUGGGAGGGGGAGAUGGAAUUAGUGGUGUAGGGGUAAAAUCCGUAGAUAUCACUAGGAAUACCUAAAGCGAAGGCGAUCUCCUGGAACAUUACUGACGCUAAGGCGUGAAAGCGUGGGGAGCAAACAGGAUUAGAUACCCCAGUAGUC